GAGUUUGAUCCUGGCUCAGAACGAACGCUGGCGGCGUGCCUAACACAUGCAAGUCGAACGUGAUCCAGAGCUUGCUCUGGUGAAAGUGGCGCACUGGUGAGUAACGCGUGGAUAACCUACCCUGGUAUCCGGGAUAACAUUCCGAAAGGGGUGCUAAUACCGGAUAAGCCCACGGGCUCUUUGGAGCUUGCGGGAAAAGGUGGCCUCUAUUUAUAAGCUACUGUAUCAGGAUGGGUCCGCGUACCAUUAGCUAGUUGGCGGUGUAACGGACCACCAAGGCGACGAUGGUUAGCUGGUCUGAGAGGAUGAUCAGCCACACUGGAACUGAGACACGGUCCAGACUCCUACGGGAAGCAGCAGUGGGGAAUUUUGCGCAAUGGGGGAAACCCUGACGCAGCAACGCCGCGUGAGUGAUGAAGGCCUUUGGGUCGUAAAGCUCUGUCAGAGGGGAAGAAAUGAUAUAGUGCUAAUACCACUUUAUCUUGACGGUACCCUCAAAGGAAGCACCGGCUAACUCCGUGCCAGCAGCCGCGGUAAUAC
rnacentral:rRNA from 1 species